CCUACGGGUGGCAGCAGUGAGGAAUAUUGGUCAAUGGGCGCGAGCCUGAACCAGCCAAGCGGCGUGAAGGAUGACUGCCCUACGGGUUGUAAACUUCUUUUAUAAAGGAAUAAAGUGAGGCACGUGUGCCUUUUUGUAUGUAUUUUAUGAAUAAGGAUCGGCUAACUCCGUGCCAGCAGCCGCGGUAAUACGGAGGAUCCGAGCGUUAUCCGGAUUUAUUGGGUUUAAAGGGAGCGUAGGUGGGUUGUUAAGUCAGUUGGGAAAGUGUGCGGGUCAACCGUAGAAUUGCAGUUGAUACUGGCAGCCUUGAGUACAGGUGAGGUAGGCGGAAUUCGUGGUGUAGCGGUGAAAUGCUUAGAGAUCACGAAGAACUCCGAGUGCGAAGGCAGCCUACUGAACGGCCACUGACGUUGAGGCACGAAAGUGUGGGUAUCAAACAGGAUUAGAUACCCGGGUAGUC
rnacentral:rRNA from 1 species